rnacentral:rRNA from 1 species
UGGGGAAUUUUGGACAAUGGGCGAAAGCCUGAUCCAGCAAUGCCGCGUGUGUGAAGAAGGCCUUCGGGUUGUAAAGCACUUUUGUCCGGAAAGAAAUCCUUGGCUCUAAUACAGUCGGGGGAUGACGGUACCGGAAGAAUAAGCACCGGCUAACUACGUGCCAGCAGCCGCGGUAAUACGUAGGGUCAAGCGUUAAUCGGAAUUACUGGGCGUAAAGCGUGCGCAGGCGGUUUGCUAAGACCGAUGUGAAAUCCCCGGGCUCAACCUGGGAACUGCAUUGGUGACUGGCAGGCUAGAGUAUGGCAGAGGGGGGUAGAAUUCCACGUGUAGCAGUGAAAUGCGUAGAGAUGUGGAGGAAUACCGAUGGCGAAGGCAGCCCCCUGGGCAAUACUGACGCUCAUGCACGAAAGCGUGGGGAGCAAACAGGAUUAGAUACCCUGGUAGUCCACGCCCUAAACGAUGUCAACUAGUUGUUGGGGAUUCAUUUCCUUAGUAACGUAGCUAACGCGUGAAGUUGACCGCCUGGGGAGUACGGUCGCAAGAUUAAAACUCAAAUGAAUUGACGGGGUCAUAGCUGUUUCCU